rnacentral:rRNA from 1 species
AGCUAACGCAGUUUAAGUUCGACCGCCUGGGGAGUACGGCCGCAAGGUUAAAACUCAAAUGAAUUGACGGGGGCCCGCACAAGCGGUGGAGCAUGUGGUUUAAUUCGAUGCAACGCGAAGAACCUUACCUGGCCUUGACAUCCACGGAAUUCUCCAGAGAUGCCUUAGUGCCUUCGGGAACCGUGAGACAGGUGCUGCAUGGCUGUCGUCAGCUCGUGUUGUGAAAUGUUGGGUUAAGUCCCGCAACGAGCGCAACCCUUAUCCUUUGUUGCCAGCGAGUAAUGUCGGGAACUCAAAGGAGACUGCCGGUGACAAACCGGAGGAAGGUGGGGAUGACGUCAAGUCAUCAUGGCCCUUACGGCCAGGGCUACACACGUGCUACAAUGGCGCAUACAAAGAGAAGCGAACUCGCGAGAGCAAGCGGACCUCACAAAGUGCGUCGUAGUCCGGAUCGGAGUCUGCAACUCGACUCCGUGAAGUCGGAAUCGCUAGUAAUCGUAGAUCAGAAUGCUACGGUGAAUACGUUCCCGGGCCU